rnacentral:rRNA from 1 species
AGCGAACGCUGGCGGCAGGCCUAACACAUGCAAGUCGAACGAACUCUUCGGAGUUAGUGGCGGACGGGUGAGUAACACGUUGGAACGUGCCUUUUGUUCCGGCAGAACUCAGGGAAACUUGUGCUAAUACCGAAUGUGCCCGUCGGGGGCAAGAUUUAUCGCCAUUAGAGCGGCCCGCGUCUGCUUAGCUGGUUGGUGAGGUAACGGCUCACCAAGGCGACGAGCAGUAGCUGGUCUGAGAGGAUGACCAGCCACACUGGGAAUGAGGCACGGCCCAGACUCCGACGGGAGGCAGCAGUAGGGAAUGUUGCGCAAUGAGCGAAAGCCUGACGAAGCCAUGCCGCGUGAAAGAUGAAGGUGUUAGGAUUGUAAAAUUCUUUCGCCGGAGACGAUAAUGACGGUACCCGGAGAAGAAGCCCCGGCUAACUUCGUG